CAGUAGCCGCGGUAAUACGUAGGUGGCAAGCGUUGUCCGGAAUGAUUGGGCGUAAAGGGCGCGCAGGCGGCUGUGUAAGUCUGUCUAGAAAGUGCGGGGCUAAACCCCGUGAGAGGAUGGAAACUGGACAGCUGAGAGUGUCGGAGAGGAAAGCGGAAUUCCUAGUGUAGCGGUGAAAUGCGUAGAUAUUAGGAGGAACACCGGUGGCGAAAGCGGCUUUCUGGACGACAACUGACGCUGAGGCGCGAAAGCGUGGGGAGCGAACAGGAUUAGAUACCCGCGUAGUCCCUGUCUCUUAUAC
rnacentral:rRNA from 1 species